GUCAAUUGAUCUUCUAGGUUGGCA
rnacentral:siRNA from 1 species